UUUCCGUAGGUGAACCUGCGGAAGGAUCAUUAUUGUAUAACCGAGGUGCGAGGGCUGUCGCUGACUCGAAAGGUCGUGCACGCCCGAGUGCCCUCACACACAUCCAUCUCACCCCUAUGUGCACCACCGCGUGAGUCCCCCUUUGGCUUGUUCGGAGGGGGGCUUACGUUUUCACACAAACUUUGUAUGCAGUGUAGAAUGUAUUUUUUGUUUUUGCGAUCACGCAAUCAAUACAACUUUCAACAACGGAUCUCUUGGCUCUC
rnacentral:misc_RNA from 1 species